GCCGCCGUUAACCGCUUAGGCGCCGCGACCCCCGCGCUCGGGUCUCGCCUCCUCCCCGCGCCUUCCUCUGCCCGGCCUGCAAGCUUACUCUGGUUUUAUAGGUAAUAAAGACACUUGUGCUAGGGGAGGGGUCCAGCGGGCCCUCUACCGCUGUCGUGAGAAACGUGUGUAAUGGUCACGGCUUCACCCGCCACGGGGGCUGGGAGACAGUAGUUCAAAACGGUUGCAAACAAUGUGAUUAAUCUACCCGGCGCCAUGCAAAUAAAGACCUUGUUCAAAAAUGGAACAUGAGAGGUGAAUUAUUAACUCUAAAGCCAACAGGAUGUCAAUGGACGGCAUAACACGCAUUGCACUAGACCGGGCACUCACGGUCACAGACUCGCGCUCCCUGUGUUUGCGUAGCUCUUCCCGCAAGAGGCCUCUGGAAGGAGUCGCCACUGCCGAGCCCACGCGCACGAAGGGCGGGUGCUGUUGUAGCCACCUGGCUUGCAUGGAGCUCCCAACACCCCGCCGGGGCCGGGCACAGGAGGGCACGCACCGGUGCUCGAGGAGCCCGCAGAGGUCAACGAGCCCUACCAGCCCAGGAGCCAGAGUUUGAAAUCUUGUGGUUCAUCAAGUGCUGAGGCUGGAAAUGCCGUUAGUUACUGGCAGCGCGAUACCGGCAGUGAAAAGGCUUGUCGGAGGCCAUGGUAACAAAAAAUAAUUGUUCCUCUCUCAAAGUGCUUAUAAUUUAUACAAGAGUAAACAUGAAUGUAAGAAGCAGGGAGCUCAAGCUAUACUACAUAACAUUUGAAGAUGGCUUUACACAUGACAAGAUGGUUCUAAGAGUUACAAAAGAAGAGUGCAGCUGCCCUUGACUCCAUCCUCGGCUGCUUCUCAGCAGAGCUAAGCCAGACAUGAGGUGUGAGGGGAAUAGGUGGGAGGAAAUCAGUGGAGAAAAUGCAGGUGGAAGAACGUUAUGAGGGCUCCAAAAGUUAUGAACUGGGAAGAGAAGAGCACCUGGGGAAGAAGGUCUCAGCACCUAAACAUGAGUUUCCUGUACUGAAGAAUGAAAUUCCCAGUAUCAAACAGAAAGUGGUUGGUGUUUUGUCUAAGUGUCAGAAAAUAAGUUACCUCUAAAAAUUUGUUUCCUAAUGUAUAAGUUUCAGUCUACCAUUUCUUCAUAUUUUUCCAGUCCAGGCAGCAGAGGUGAAAUCCCAAACUUAGAGUGGCCUGGGUUUUGUGCUUGAAUUUACAAUAUGAGUUUUCAGUCAUGCCAAACCCGAGUGGAGAUGGAAAUCUCUGUUAUAAGAAUCAUGAGCAAUCAGAAUUGCUGUAAACAGUCCUAUUGAUUUUAAUAGUUGAAAAUCUCAGCUCAGCAAGAGCAUUUCUAUUAUGAUAAAGUAUGGAGAUAUAUACAUACAUACAAGCUUUGUGCCUAAAAUUAGAUUGUGAGAUCUCUGGAUAGGAUCUUAAGUCUCUCACUUCUGGAAAGCAUCUCUACUCAGAAGAGAAUUCAAAUGUGUUAGAUUUAAACAUAAGGGUAAGUGCUUUCCUGAUUUUAGGCAGUAAAAAUGUGUUCUUCAAAGAUGCUGAGCCUCCAGUAGGACCAAAUGAAUCAGUUAAGAGAUUCUGGGACUGCUAGUUUAGAUUCCUAUUUCUGAAAAUCAUGGCUCAUUUUGUAAUUAUAGUUGCACAUGAAAAACAUGAACCAUAGCAUACAUAGAAAAGGAAAUGUAUUGCUUAUAAAUGUAUAACUAAUGGGUCUGAGACCAAAACUUCAGUCAUUGUAAGUCAAAAUAAAGUCAUGACCUUUAGUG